rnacentral:lncRNA from 1 species
GACGUGAGCCACCGCACCUGGCCAUACCUAACUUAUUAAGCAGUAAUUUUCUUUCUUUUUUGAAUUGCUACUUCCCUGAUUAUACAAAUAAUACAUACUCAGAAUAGAAAAUUUGAGAAAUUCCAAAAAAUCUAAAGGAGGAAAGAAAAUCACUCAUAAUUACAGAUGUAAAUAUUAAUAUACCUCUAUGCAUAUACUGUGUUUACAUGCUUGAGAGUACACUGUAUUUCUUGAUUUAUUACCUGAUGUUUAUUGUGCAUACUACAUUGUAUAUAUUUGUCCAUGUUAAUUUUUCAGACAUUUUUAACAAAUUCAUAAUAUUUUAAAAUGGAAAACAGGAAAAAAAACCCCUACAUAUAACAAGUGGAAAUGAAAUAGUUUUCUGCUGGAUUCUCAGCAACCUUUCACUUUUCUUUAGGUUUUUGAGGGUAAUAACAAUAUUGGAGGACUAGGCUCAGAGAUUAUUUUCACUUUCUCUACCGUAAGAGUUAAGGCCCAUUUCCACUGUCAGAAGUUCUCAUAAUGCCCUUUUGUAAAAUGAAAAAUGAGUGUGAUGUACAUUUUUUCUUAGUGAGGCAAAGCACACAUAGGGUGUAAUAACCAAAGCUGUGAACUCACAGCAUCAAAGGACAGCACAGUGCUGCCGUGGUUUCCCAAGAGACUUCUCCAACUCCACUCAUCCUCUGUCAACUUUCUGGCUCCAGAUACUGCUGUUUUACUUCCAGGUCUUUGUGUUUUUAAACUCAACCACACUUACAUUUUUGUAAGCACCUCUGCAAUUGUGUAAGCCUCAACUCGAAGAACAUUCACAAUUCAUUUAAUAUUUGGAGAACACAUAUAUAUAAGGCCCUUUGCUAAAUUUUGAUGCCAAAUAAACUUGAUGUCCACUCAAUGUUGUAGGAAUAUACAAAGAUGAAAAGACUCUACCUCUUGAGGCAGGCACUGGCAAUAUUUCAGAAAAGCAUGUUGAAGUAAAAAUAUUUCUCAGGUUAUUCUUGGAAAGUGGAAUUUGACUCAAUAUUGAUAUAUUCUUUUAGCAGACUGUAAUUCAGCAGGACUCCAUUUUCAAACUUGUCUUCCCUGAGGUGGGCAGCAAUUGAAAUCUUUGUUCAGGUCUUUUAGGCUUAACAUCACUUACGUAUAGUGUAGAGAUCAGCCGGUAUUUGGGUAUAGUAAACACAAAAAUUUGAGGCUCUCGUUGGUCUGUCUGCCUAUUUUCUGUGGCUUUAUCUUCCAGAUUUUCAAUCUCCAUGACCUUCAUGAACUCUGUCCUGUUCCUUCAGGCCAGUAAGACUGAUGUUUUCUACCUGGAUUUUAGUUACCCUGUAAAAUGACGCUGACUAGGUCCUUCUCUUAUCUUAAAAUCAGCAAAAGUAAAUCAUCCAUGCCAUUUUUUCUGGCAAAUAUCGACUGCUCCAAUCCAGUUUCUGGAUGCUUUUGGCCACUUCAGGAAAAUGUAUGUAUGUGUCAUUGGGAAUGUGCCUGUCCUUCUGCUAGUGCUGGAAACUAAAUGCUGGAUAGGAUACAGUCCCUACCCUCAAGCAUUAGUUUGAGAGAACUCUGUAACAGACAUUACUGACAUUUUACAAAUAAGGAGUUUUAGGCUCAGAGUGAUAGUGACAGAGGACAGACAAAUUCUUACACAGACAGGGAUGAGUCCCUGGUGAAAGCCGACCUUCAAGCCAAAGACAGCCUGAAGCCUGAAGACGGAUAUGCUGGAUGGAUAGAGUCCACCACCGGUGUGAGAACUUCCUCAAUGCCUUUUAACCAAUUGAAUGGUGCUUUUUCCAAGACCACGCAUGGACCCCAUCAGCACCCACUUCGCCAUUCUGAGCCCAUAAAAACCAGCCAGACUCAGCCAGACAGACGGCGACCCACUCUUGGGUCCCCUGUUUGCUGACAGC